GGACCAUCCAACAGAGUGUAGACAACUGACCUGGCCAUUGAAGCCACUGUCUCCAUCCUCCAUGCUGAGCUUGGAUGAGGAGACAGAUCAUCCUGGCUCAUGGGAGCCACAGCCACCCAAUAAGUUUUACCUCAUGCCCUUGCCACCCCAGUACCCUGAUUCCUUAACCAAAAAAUGAAUCUUGACAGAAAACUCUAAAUUCUACACAGCACUUCCAGGUACAUUCUCCUUUGGAUUCUUAUAAUUGCCCUAGGACACACAUAGAUGAGGAAACUGAGUCUCCAAGACUGGUGUAACUCUCUGUAUGGUUUAUAAGUUCUUUUAUUUUCAAGGUCUCUCUCAAGACAUACUUAUGUUAGAGCUCAGAGGAGUUGAAAGAACUGCUAGAGCCAGGGCCUAAACUCAGACAAAAGAAAGACUAGCUCCAACAUAGC